CCUACGGGUGGCAGCAGUGGGGAAUAUUGGGCAAUGGACGCAAGCCUGACCCAGCAACGCCGCGUGAAGGAAGAAGGCUUUCGGGUUGUAAACUUCUUUUGUCAGGGACGAAGAAAGUGACGGUACCUGACGAAUAAGCCACGGCUAACUACGUGCCAGCAGCCGCGGUAAUACGUAGGUGGCAAGCGUUAUCCGGAUUUACUGGGUGUAAAGGGGGGGUAGGCGGGCCGGCAAGUCAGAUGUGAAUACCACGGGCUCAACCUGUGGCCUGCAUUUGAAACUGUAGUUCUUGAGUACUGGAGAGGCAGACGGAAUUCCUAGUGUAGCGGUGAAAUGCGUAGAUAUUAGGAGGAACACCAGUGGCGAAGGCGGUCUGCUGGACAGCAACUGACGCUGAGGCGCGAAAGCGUGGGGAGCAAACAGGAUUAGAUACCCUUGUAGUC
rnacentral:rRNA from 1 species